CCAUCACUUUUGAAUUGUUGAUUAACAUAAUUAUUUAAAAAAACAAACUAAUGAAAUAGGGCUGGACAAAAAUGAUGGUACCCAUAACUUAAUAUUUUGUUGCACAACCUUUUGAGGCAAGCACUGCAAUUAAACGAUUUCUGUAUUUGUCAAUGAGCGUUCUGCAGCUGUCAACAGGUAUUUUGGCCCACUCCUCAUGAGCAAACAGCUCCAGUUGUCUCAGGUUUGAUGGGUGUCUUCUCCAAAUGGCAUGUUUCAGCUCCUUCCACAUAUGUUCAAUGGGAUUCAGAUCUGGGCUCAUAGAAGGCCACUUUAGAAUAGUCCAACGCUUUUCUCUCAGCCAUUCUUGGGUGUUUUUGGCUGUGUGUUUUGGAUCGUUGUCCUGUUGGAAGACCCAUGACCUGCGACUGAGACCAAGCUUUCUGACACUAGGCAGCACAUUUCUCUCCAGAAUGCCUUGAUAGUCUUCAGAUUUCAUCUUACCUUGCACACUUUCAAGACACCCUGUGCCAGAUGCAGCAAAGCAGCCCCAAAAGAUUACUGAGCCUCCUCCAUGUUUCACCGUAGGGACAGUGUUCUUUUCUUCGUAUGCUUGGUUUUUGAGUCUAUGAACAUAGAGUUGAUGUGCCUUACCAAAAAGCUCCAGUUUGGUCUCAUCUGUCCAAAGGACAUUCUCCCAGAAGCUUUGUGGCUUGUCAACAUGCAUUUUUGCAAAUUCCAGUCUCGCUUUUUUAUGAGUUUUUUUCAGCAGUGGUGUCCUCCUUGGUCGUCUCCCAUGAAGUCCACUUUGGCUCAAACAACGACGAAUGGUGCGAUCUGACACUGAUGUACCUUGGCCUUGGAGUUCACCUUUAAUUUCUUUGGAGGUUGCUCUGGGCUCUUUGGAUACAAUUCCAACGAUCCGUCUCUUCAAUUUGUCAUCAAUUUUCCUCUUGCGGCCACGUCCAGGGAGGUUGGCUACUGUCCCGUGGGUCUUGAACUUCUGAAUAAUAUGAGCCACUGUUGUCACAGGAACUUCAAGCUGUUUAGAGAUGGUCUUAUAGCCUUUACCUUUAAGAUGUUUGUCUAUAAUUUUUUUUCGGAUGUCCUGGGACAAUUCUCUCCUUCGCUUUCUGUUGUCCAUGUUCAGUGUGGUACACACCUUUUCACCAAACAGCAGGGUGACUACUUGUCUCCCUUUAAAUAGGCAGACUGACUGAUUAUGAGUUUGGAAACACCUGUGAUGUCAAUUAAAUGACACACCUGAGCUAAUCAUGUCACUCUGGUCAAAUAGUUUUCAAUCUUUUAUAGAGGUACCAUCAUUUUUGUCCAGGCCUGUUUCAUUAGUUUGUUUUUUUAAAUAAUUAUGUUAAUCAACAAUUCAAAAGUAAUGGCUGUUUUUGAUUAUUUAAUUUUCAAUAAAUUUUUAUUUAUUGUUACUUUUGUGAGUUUCAAGUGAUUUCAGUGAGAAUUGUGGGUUUUUCCUUCUUUAACUGAGGGGUACCAACAAUUUUGUCCACGUGUGUGUAUAUAUAUAUAUAUAUAUAUAUAUAUGUGUAUAUGAAUAGGGCAACAUAAACUGAAGAAAUAAUUAGCAUUUUCUUUCAAAAAUUAACAAAACCUUCAUCUGACGGUGUUGAUAGAAAUUGAAUAUAGCCUAAUAUUUAUAAACAAGUUCCAGCAUAAUUCAAUGAAAAUAAGAAGUGUUGCAUUUUCCAGAAAUUAGAAUUUGCGUUUUAUGUAUACAGAAGUAGAGAAGAAGUGGAUCUGUCUACAGAGGCUGCCAUCCGAUGUAAUAUUAAGUUUCACACCAGAUGCUGUGAAAAUCUCCACAGUAACUUUUUUUCAUUAAAUAAGUAAAUGCUGGGAAAGUGACACAAUAAUAACUAGACCAAAGCCUGAACACUUCUACUUUGUACACUUCUAACUUGUAGAAUUACAUUAUUUAACCUUACUGUAUAGUAUGGUGAAAUAAUGUAAUUCUUUACAUUAAUUUUUUCCAGUCAUGGAAAAAAUUAUUCGAACACCCUUUUUUUCUUCAAUUUAUUGUUCAUUUCAAUUCCUGGUACCACUAAAGGUACAUUUGUUUGGACAAAUAUAAUGAUGACAACAAAAAUAGCUCAUAACGGUUUAAUUUCAUAGCUGAUAUCAGACAUUUUCCAUGGUUUUGUUGAUAACCAAAAUGACUUCAGUUCUUCCAUCAAUAGAUAUGGCAUUGUUCUGUCAAAAACAGCUUUUAGGAUUACAUGUUUUCUGUCUGUUUUAGUCUCAUGAUCCACACAGGAGUUAGUACUUGAUUGCAUUAAAAUAGUUUCUGAUGACUGCAGCCACGCAUUGUGUCAUGCUCUCCACCAGUUUCUGACAUUGUUCUGCUGUCAGAGCAGCCCAUUCCUGUUGCACUAAUUCUAACUAAUCUGCUUUGUUUUUGGGCUUGUCGUUGUCCAUUUUGCAUUUGAUGAUUUUCCACAGGUUUUCUAUUGGAUUUAGAUCUGGUGAUUAAGCAGGCCAAGGCAUGAUUCCAAUGUUCUGGUUCGCCAUCCAGGCUUUAACUUACCUUGUCUCAUUAGAAUAUUGUAGCGGCUGUGGGUGUAUGGCAAGCCGUUUUAACAUUUAAUGCCCAGACUGGAUAUUCGCUACAGAUAUCUGUAAUUCAGUUCUUCCUAGUCGAAAAGAAUGUUAGCGAUAUCAACAACUCUAUUUCUCCUAUCCGUAAUUAUCAUUUCAGAUAUCCACAAAUACAUUCUUCCUAGGAGAAAUGACGUCACCUUUGCCAUUCAUCCGUAUGGGUUACUUCAUUGCGCCUAUCCGUAAUUCAGUUGUAGAUAUCUGCAAUAUGAGCUAUGGAUAUCUGCAAUUGAAUUACGGAUAUCCGUAAUUCAGUUGCAGAUAUCUACAACUGAAUUACGGAUAGUCAAAAUUCCAAUUUGAGAUAUCUCCAACCCCUCCUCAAUUACAGAUAUCUACAUGUUCCUUUCUGGAUAUCCAUAACUCAGUUUUGACGAGGCGGAAUUCGUUGUAGAUAUCUUAAAGUAACGCCUUGUCAAUAUGACGUUGUGGAUAUCUCAAAUAUGGCAAGCCGUUUUAACAUUUAAUGCCUAGAUUGCACUAUCCGGAACUAAGACUGCGGAUAUCCACAACUCCAUUCUGACUAGGCGUUAAUGAAUUUUGGAUAUCCGGAAUUUCCAUUAAAGAUAUCCAUAACGUAAUUUUGACUAUCCGAAAGGACAGAUAGAGAUAUCUAAAUCUCAGUUUCGCCUAGUCGAAACAGAAUUACAGAUAUCUCUAAUGACGUAACUGAAACGUCAUGAAACGCGUCACAUAUCCCAAAUGAAAAUUACAGACAUCCGUAAUUCAGUUUCCACUAGGCGAAAUGUAAGUUAAAGAUAUCUUAAACGUCACUAUGACUCGUCGGAAUGACAUUGCUCUAUUUUAGAUAUCCAGAAAUGCGUAACUUCCCAACCCCGCCAGAAAAAACAGGAAGCUUAUGGCAAAUGAAGCUGUUCCAUGGCGGUAGUACUGAACAAGAUUGUACAAAAAUGCCACGGAGUAGAACGAGCCCUCAGUCAGGGGAUUUGCGGGGAGAGACAGCGUCGUGCUGUCAAAAUAAUGUGGAACGAAUUGAACAUUUGCUGUCGCCAGACACAAAAAAAAUGUGCUUAAAGCCUGCUUAGAUGAGCUACGAACGCUCAUUUAUACUAAUGUACCGGCAGUGGGAAACCGAGGUUUCUCUGUGAGGCGCAUUCGAUCAGGUGGUCCGUGUAUAUUUUGGUAAUUGGAUUUUCCGUUCUAAAGCAGGUAUUGAAAAACAAAAAACGAGUGGUUAUUUGAUUUUCGUUUUCAAAGGCAAAAAUUAAAAUUGAAAUACAAGGCGUUUUUCCUUUUCACGAUCAAAAAUGGAUAUACGAAUUUUAAGAAAUGCUUUGGUUUUCAUUUUUUAUUUACAAAAACUAAAAUAAGUAAGAGACAGCAACGAAAAAAGGUCAAUUUUUUCGUUUUCUGAGACCGGAAGUGACCACUUCCGGUCUCAGAAAACGAAAAAAAAUUUUUUUUUCAUCAGCAAGGGUGGAGCCAAACAAAGUACGGUGCAUAGGCUGUAAAUAAAUGGUUUUUUUUUGUUUGUUUUCAUGGUCAAAAUGAAAGAUCAAGUGGCUGAUCUUAAAAUAAAUCAAUAUCGAUUUUUUUAUUUAUUAAGUUUUGCGACGCAAGGGGGCGUGGUUACCUGAUUGACAGUUCGUCUGGAAUGACCGACAGUCUGGAGGAUUAAUUCUGAUAUGGUCACUGGUGGUUUAUCAGGGAAGAAGCAGAACCUUUUCCACAGACACUUUUCCUGCCUGUUGGCUUGUUUUAACCAUUUUGCUACCUUCGGCUGAUUCUACCAGCAGACACUGAAAGUUCGGUGUCUCAUGUUCACUGUGAGGAUCUUCUGAGUGAAGCCAACAGAAGGAAAACCUCAUCUGGUUGUGAAGAAGGAGACUGAAUGGACGACAUCCUCAGUGAACCACUUCCUGUUUAGCUUUCACUGACAGAAGGACAGACCAACUCUUUCAGCAGUUUAUUAUUCUCUGUUCUUAGUAUUCACAGAUUCUAUUUAUCACUUUUAACUUCAUCUCUGCUGCUGUAGCAGAAAUACAACAGGGUUUCUGCAGAACAUUAAUAGUCAUUAAGUUGAUUUUGCAGAAAUUAAGGCCUUAAAUGGCAUUAAAAAUCAUUAAAUUUGAUUCUCGGUGGCAUUAAAAUUUCUUUCUGCAGUUUUCAAGAAAAUAAUUGACAAUAAUAUAUUUAUAGACUGCGAUUUGUCAGGUAUGUGCAUCUGCGUAAACAUGCCGAAGCAUUGAGAUAAUUGUUCCAGCCGGGUGGGUACAAUUUCUAAAAACUGCAUGUU